AGUGGCUCGGCGCCCUGUCCCAAUACAUUAAACUAUCUCUAAAAAAAGAUUUAGAUUCAGAAACCACAGAACUUCAUCCCGGUUCCUGUUGAUAGCACCAUUCUUUUUUGUUGUGGCCGCAAGUGAGAAGUAUCAAGAUCAAGUUAACAAAAAAUACAUAAUUUUGAUAAAAUAAUAAUUUUUUCGAUCACAAAGGAAACAAAUCAAAGGAAUUUCUAGAUCACAAAGGAAACAAAGGAAACGGGUUGGAAAGGGGUGUUUGGAACAGGUUUUUGCUAUUUUCCCCAAGUUGAUCGGGAUUGUCUUAAACUUGAUAUUCUAUGAAAUUCGACAGUAGACCAAACCCCAUUUCUGAACAUGAAUUUAGCCUAACUCCAGUUCUCAGAAUGAAAAUUUAAUCAAUAAUUUUCUCAUUCAAUCUGCAACAAAUAGGACUGCCGAUGGAAAUGAGGAAUCUCUCAUUAAUGAAAUUGUCGAUGGCAAUGAGAGGAGAGAUAGAGAUGGCGAAGGAAUAGAUGAAAGCACCAGCUCUCAGAGUGUUUAUCAUGUAAAGUUGACACAAAGCAGGAAGCUACCGUCAUUCGGCAACAAAGAACCAAUGAAAUGAUGAUUUUGGCCACACAUUCUAAAAACCCAUGGUGUUGUACCGUCGUCCUGAGUUUUUUUCACUUUGGCCCAUUUGAGGGAUCUGAACAAAGAGCUUGUGGUUCACAAAGAUGAAAUCAAGAAUCUCUCAUUAAUGGAUUAACGUAAUUGUUGCUCGGAAUGGGGAAUCUCUUAAUCAAGAAUUCGAUACCCUCUUUAGUAUAAUCAGCACCGUGACGAAGUCUUUUAGUUCUCAACUGCAAAAUCGAAAGCCUUAGCGCCCUAGCGAGCCUGGUGUCUUGCUUCUUCAAGCCUGAUAUUUUCCUGCAGUUGAAAAGUAUGGCCGGAGGAAAACUAACUGGUAUUUAGGUUUUUUUUUCUGCGGUAUUCUAUGUGGAAGAAGAACCAUGGUAUUUAAGAAAACGAACAAAUGUAUUUAGGUUUAUUAUCUAGGUUUAGUAAAAUCAACAAAUCAAAACGUCUAUCUCCUCUCUCUCCACUCUCCAGAAACCGCAAAAAAAAAGAGAAAAAAAAAACUCCCAUCUUCUUCGUUUUUUAUCUUGAUCUGCAUGGAUUUGAUUUGAUUUUUCCGAUCUUCUAGGCAGAUCAAGGUUAGUCUCUCUAGUUUGUAUAGAUUCUAAUAAAAUUGUUGUUCCAACAAUUUUCUAAGGUUUUUUAUUUUAUUUAUUUCUGAUCAAUCAGAUGGCUUAUGUAUGCUAUCUUGAUUUCUUAUUAUAUGUUUGUAUAACAAUUUCAUAUAGCCUUCAUGGCAGUUCAAUCGAUUAUUACAAUCGUUUCAAAUACAUCUUCGAGGACGAUUCACAUUGGCUUGACGUUGAUUUACACAGCGCAUAUUACUCUUAUGUUAUAGGAACAUCAAAUCUUAAAGAAGAAGAUAAAUUUGUUCCCAAUGAAGAACAACAAUUCAAAUGGUGGAAUCAGAAGCUUCACACCAUCCCUCGAAUAGCAUCG